GAGCCACUGAGUCCAGCCAAGUCACAUAUUAUUAUUAUUAUUGUUAUUUAGAGUAAGCGGAAACCUAAGCGAUAGAUCAUUUGCCCAAGGUCAUGGAACAUUUUAACGAUCUUGGAUAAAAUCCAAGUUUUCAGAUCCUUCAUCCACAAUCUCUUCUCUUCUUCCACGCUGUUAUUGUGAGUUUCUCUCUUUCUUUGAGGUGAACGUGUAAAAGAUUUAAGCCAUUUUAAAAAUAACUUGUGGCUCCUUAUAUACUAUUUCUUUCAAAGUCUUUUCAAGAAACAUGCAGUUGUCAAUGUGGAGGAGACUCUCGUUGCCCUCUUAUAUCUCAUACCUGCCAAAUCUUACCCUUUCAAAGUGAAGGACAUUUUCAUUUUCGAUUAAUAUUAAGACUACAUAAAAAAGCAUUUUGCUCUCUGAGACAAGCUUUUCUUCAGUGUUUCAACAAACCAUUUAUAUUUUUUUUAUCAUUUUUUUUUUCCCUACAAAAAAGUCUCCCUCAUUUAAAUUGUCACAGCUUGGGAACCCUGCCUGGAAUACAUAAUAACUGCUUGUAACACUUAAAACGAAAACAAAUUUACCAAGGAUGGUGGAAUGACAACAAAGAACAAGAAAAAUGACUGGCUUGAGGACACAGACUUCAGCGCAGAUGGGGACCUGGAUCCCAGCAGAACUGGCUCCCCUAGGAAAAUGGAUGGAACUCUGCUAAGAGAAAUGCCAACAAAAGGCCCAGAGGAAGAGAGAGAGCAAGACCCCAUGGAAGAUUCGGAUGUUCGUCUGGGUGGAAGAGUCCAAAGCGGAUGUACCAGCAUGUUGUUAGCACACACACACCCUUGUGGGAAGAGGAGCAGCUGAGGUGACCAGGAGGUGACGGAUGCUCUCACUCUUCAUCACGAAAUAUUCAGAGAACACCGUUCCAGCUCCUUGAGAUCUACGGUGUCCAGAGCAACCCCAGAUUCCUCUAUCAUCAUAAAUCCCUGACUAAAAGAAAGCAGCCAGAAGAUUUUCCCCUGUGAAAUGGCCCAAAGUCAUUCCAUCAGUCCUUCUCAAAGAUGCACUGGGUGCCCUUCAUCAUUAUCACAUUAUAAAUGAAUUUGUUAAGAAAUAUGUGCUUACUGACUACAAUGUGCCAGUCACUGUGCUAGAUGCUUGGGAUGUAGCAAUGAAUAAACAAACCUAUCAAGAUUCCUGCCCUCAGGGAGGUGACAGUCUCUCAGGGGAGACAGACACACAAUAACGACAGGAAGUAAAUUAAAUGGCAUGUUAGAAGGUGAUGGAACUAAAUAAAGAAAAGAAAGGAAAAGCCAUCAUUUACUUCAUCAUUCAUUUUUCAGUUUUCCUUUAGCCCCAACAUUCAGAG